AAACACACAACGUUAAGACAACGUUGUGUUUUAGUUGUAUUUUAGUUGUGUUAUUUUACAACGUUGUGACAACGUUGUAACAACGUUGAGAACUAUUCAAAAUUAUGAUUUGAAAUGUAUAGGAGAAAGUCCUAUGCAAGCAAUGUGUGAAUGUACUGAAAAGACCCUAUAAAAAGGCACACUGAGUUUUUAUCUGAAUCUUGUAAAAUCUACAACGUUAGUACAACGUUGUGCAAACGUUGAGCUACAACGUUGUGUACGUAACAGUGCUGUAACGUUGUCGCAACGUUGUAAAGUAACGUUGUCACAACGUUUUACUCAAGUUUGAACCACAACGUUGUUGAGGUAACGUUAUAGUAACGUUUUUACAAUGUUGCCAAUUUUCAGUGAAAGAGUAGUUAUGAAAGUAUAUUCAAAACCGACAGUUGCCUAGAAAAGCCUGCUUACUUGCAGAGCUACCGAGGUCGCCUGCUCAGCAGCUGUCAACUGCCUCAUACGAGAACUGCUUUGCUACUCCCUUAUAUACUAGACACCGUCGUUUAUAUGACUGAAAAAUUGUUGAAAAAGGCGUUUAACCCGAACACACACACACACACCCUUAUAUACUAUUUUUUUUUCGCUCGAUUGUGAAGAAUAAAGCUUCGAGUCCGAAUCUGGGAAAACCUUUGAAUGGCGUUUAAUGAGGAUGUUAACUGCCAUGACCCAUUAUUAGAGUUCAAACCCACGUCUCCGUGGUAAGCAGCCGACACCUUAUCUCCAACACCACCACUCCCUUCUGCCGCAAAACAUUGCCAGUUAUAUAGGUAAUUUGUACAGCAUAUGCUGUAUGCAUGUCUAGAAUUUUCUUUUUUUAUGGAUAUCCUGUAAAUAUAUUUACAAUCCAUAAAUCUGAAGAUUUUUCAGUAUAAAUUCAUAGACUGGUUGUAUGAGAUCUGUUAAAAUUACAAUUUAAAUCAUAACUGCAAGUUAAAAUGAAAUUUUUCACUCAUUACAUUAAGCAUGUAUAGAUUAAAAUCAUAGAAAUUAUUACAUACAGAUGGAUCACUUUUUAUUUUUCACAUUUUCCAAAAAUUCAAAGUUGUCAAUAUUGACAGAAAAUCACACAAAAAAAAAACCUUCUUAUGCAUUCUAAGUUUAACCCUGCAGUUUUGACCAAUUUUUAGAAGGACAAUAUGCCCCCUGCCCCCACCCUACCCCCGCCCGAUCAUACCUGGGACCUACGCUUAAGCAAAUUAUGUAUUUAUGAGGGUACAUCAGAAAUACUGAUGACCUGAACUUCAAACUUCUGAAAAAUAAGCUUGUUUCUUGAAAUAAAUUAGGUUAGAUCUUUUUUAGUGUCAAUAUUUUGUUGUUGUUGUUGUUGUUGUUGUUGUAGUAUUUCAUUAUGUAAAGCUGACUUCGUAGCGAUAGGUUCGAAUCUAUAUUUUGCCAUUAUAAUUUCGUUUAUUUCAAUUUAAGUUGUCGAAUGUACUGUAACAUCAUUGAAUAUAAAUAUUUUUUUGUAAAUUUACUUUGAGUAUCUCCUUCUUAAAAAGAAACGUUGAUUCGGAUGUACUAACACCUGAAUAUCUGCAUGCGCGCCGAAUGUUUACAAAGUCCGUUUAGUAUUUUUGGUGUCUCUCGGUGAUACUGUUACACAUUAGAACAACUGAAUAAAAUCUCCUUUCAAUUAACUAUCGAUAUGUCUGGUGUUUUACGUAAGACUGAGUCCCAAUAUUAUUGCACAUUCGGUAGCAAAGAUGUUGACACCACAUGUCGUCUGAUGAUGACUUUUACCGGAUCGAAUAAGGUUUGGUCAUUGUAUUCCCUGAAAGGAAUGAGAGGAGAAAAGAAACUGGAAGACCUGGCUAUCUGCAGUCCAAUGCUGGCUGCAGGUCAAUAUUGAAUGCUCUUAUGAAAACUCAUAAGACAAUAACAAAAAAAAAAGAAGCUGAGGAUGCUGUUUUUAAAACAUGCUCCAUUCAAAAAAGGUGGAUUGAAAUUUAAGAAAGGUGUGACGGGUGCGUCUGCUGCAGGCAGGGAGGAUUUGACGGUCAGCCAGAGGAUUUGGAGAUAUACUGUAAUGUCUUUAAUGUGGACUUGCAUGUGAUUUAAGUUUUCACAAGGGUUUUAGUGUGUGUGAAAGUAUGUCAGUUUUCAAAAUUGAGCUAUGACAAUUUGCUCAAACUACAUAACUCAAAGAACUUUGAAGCGGUCUUGUUGACGUCAUGAGCUUUUGUUUAAUACCAGUAUUGGUGAUAUAGGCCCAUGAUUAUAUACUGUAGAAAGUGAACAAGUUCACUGCUCGAUACAGAUAAUCAUAUAGCCUGAUCUCUGAAUGAUAUUUAUGAACCAAAAGAAGGCAUAAAAUAAAAACAUACAGUAGUGAUUUGAAUUAUUGAUAUUGUUAAACUAGAUCUGGGCCUGUAUUCAUAAAGGAUCUUAGUAAAAAAAAUUAUCUAGAACUUAAUAUUCUUUGAACAAUCAAGUCAAAACUGUUCACGCUCUUUAAAUAUUUCACAGCAUGACUCCAAACUUGUAUAUUAUACCAAAGAAAAAUAGAUUGGCAACUUGAAAGGUAUAUAGAGCAAAUCUCGCCAACAUCACAUGGCAACUGAAUGAGGUCUCCUUUUAGUAAGCAUAUUUGAUCACAAUUGAUCAAGUCAGCAAACGCUUUGAAAUAAGAAAACUUGAUCGUUUGUGUAUAAUGCUAAUGGUACCUUUUUAAUAAUGUUACCAGUAUUUUCUACACAGGAAAGCAAUGAAUUUUUGAUUGGAAGUCUGAGAAAUCAACAGUUGUUGAAAAAUGGACUCGAUUCGGUUUAUUACGCGCCAGUGUAACAUUAAAUACUGACCACAUUGAAAAUUGACCCCAUAGAUCCUUUUCAACGUUGAGAAUUGACCCCGUCAACAUUUCAACAUCAAAUUUUGAUCAAAGGGUCCUUUUUCAACGUUGAGAAUUGACCCCAUCAACAUUUCAGCAUUAAAUUUUGAUCAAAAGAUUCUUUUUUUUAACAUUGAGAAAUGGCCCCACCAACAUUUCAACAUUAAAUUUUGAUCAAUGGGGUCAAUAUUUAAUGUUACACCGGCUGUACCACCAGGUUAAUACUUCAGUAAGGAUCUGUUGAUUUGAUCACGACUGAUCAAAUCGGCAAACACUUUGAAAUAAUAUAACGCGCCAAGGUCAAUGUCACCAAGGUGUUAUAGUGACAUCUUUGGUUAUUUUUAAGGUUACAGUUUUUCGGCAACCUUUGUUUUCCUGUCAUAGCUUUGUUAUUAUUGCUUAUAUCUUUCUGUAACUUUACAUAAACAUUGUCCAGCAUACAAACAAAGUAUGUACAGGGGGUGCGCCCAUUAUACCCAAGGUCAAGGUCACCAAGUUGUUAUACUUGGAAUUAUUUUCAUGUUAAAUUUUUUGGAAAGCUUCGUUUAUAGACAUACCUUUGGUACUUUAAAAGAUAGUGACUUCACUUUAUCGUCAUCAUCUGCAUGUGUGGUAGCAAUCCCAAUAACUCUAAUAUGUGUUCUUGACAGAAUUAUGCACCUUGAUUUAUCUUCCUUUUAAAGUAGAGGUCUCCUGUUGAGACAUAUAUUCAUUUUACUGUCAAAUCACCGAAUAGUGGAGCACGCUGUCUUACGGACAGCUCUUGUUGUUGAGACCCCUUAGAGAAUUUCAAAUUUGUUGUCGCAUAUCUUCACUCUGAUGUGUUACACACAAGUCGCAUCCAUAUAAACAUUGGUUUAGGUCACACUUCGGUCAAAGGUCAAAAGAGAGUUUAUUCUAACACAUUCUUUGUUUAUUCUUUUACUAUUUUUUAUCAGAAAAUCAAAUUAUUGAUUGACUGCGUUACUUAAAUUUUGUUUUUCUCAAAAACUGUCAAAGGUAACCAUUUGAAACCUGGAAAACUUGUUCACUUUUACACAUUUUUAUACGCCCGAAGGGACGUAUUAUGUUAUGACGCCGGUGUCCGUCUGUCUGUCCGUCCAUUAGCAAUUUCGUGUCCGCUCUGUAACUCUUGAACCCCUUGAAGGAUUUCAAAGAAACUUGACACAAAUGUUCACCACAUGAAGACGACGUGCAGAGCGCUUGUUUCGGAUGACUAGGUUCAAGGUCAAGGUCACACUUAGGGGUUAAAGGUCAUGUAAGUGUGUUUCGUGUCCGCUCUGUAACUCUUGAACUGCUUGGAGGAUUCCAAAGAAACUUGGCACAAAUGUUCACCACACUGAGGCGACGUGCAGAGGGCAUGUUUUAGAUGACUCGCUUCAAGGUCAAGGUCACACUUGGGGGUCAAAUGUCAUAUAUGACUUUGCUUUGUGUAUAUUGCUCUGUAUUGCAGUG